AACUUUGCGCAGUGGCGAUACAGUAACCAAUGAUCGAAUUAGAGAGGUGCUGUUAUUGCUAGUUGAAAACUAUAACCAAUACCCCGCCCAGUUGAUGUGAAAUCCCAUCGGUUGAGGCAAUUUCUGCAUGCUCUCA